rnacentral:misc_RNA from 1 species
GAUGAAGAACGUAGCGAAAUGCGAUAAGUAAUGUGAAUUGCAGAAUUCCGUGAAUCAUCGAGUCUUUGAACGCACAUUGCGCCCCCUGGUAUUCCGGGGGGCAUGCCUGUCCGAGCGUCAUUGCUGCCCUCAAGCACGGCUUGUCUGUUGGGCCUCCGUCCUCCUCCCGGGGGACGGGCCCGAAAGGCAGCGGCGGCACCGCGUCCGGUCCUCGAGCGUAUGGGGCUUCGUCACCCGCUCUUGUAGGCCCGGCCGGCGCUUGCCGACACAUCAAUCUUUUUUCCAGGUUGACCUCGGAUCAGGUAGGGAUACCCGCUGAACUUAAGCAUAUCAAUAAGCGGAGGA